ACCCCGUUGCCCUCGUCUUCCGGAUAUGACCAGAAGUCGCCGACGUGCCAGUGUGCACAGGCGCAUCAUCUGUGUGCGAGACGAUUUGCAUUAAUAAACACGGGCACCGGUGGAGGGGAAGCGGCGGGCAGGUUCCUCUUCAGUCAAGUUGUAUACCAGUGUGAGACUCUGGACAAACCCAAUCAGCUCGUUGCAUGGCUGUUUUCUUUGUCUCAACAGCACACCUAUGAGACUUCUUGGCGGAGUGGUAUGAACAGUGCAAAAGUGCUAUUAGGACAACUCUCUUAAAAGAAAGAAUCUGGGAGUCUGUGUUUGGUUUUAUUUAUCAAGCCACAUGCUACUUUGUGGAAGAAAAGCUAUCAUAGAAUAGCCUUAUGAUGUUGUUGCAUGUAUGUUUUUAUUAUUUGUACCAUUUUGUAAACAGGUGUUUUAAGUUUA